AUUUAUAUAGUUUAAUAAAAUAUUACAUUUUCACUGUAAAGAAGAAAUCCUUUUCUAUAAAUA
rnacentral:tRNA from 1 species